GUCUUCACCUCCACGUCGCUCGGCUCCCUCAGCGCUGCGCCCCGGAUUUGGGAUGCGUUGCCGUCGCUCCAAAGCGGGCUCAUUUCUGAAUCUGUUCGACUUGCGCUCCUGGGCUCAAAAACAGCUGGGACUUUUCCCCCAUACUGAACUAGCACACGAAGAGGACCCGCUGGGUGCAUGGGGCACCUGCACAGCGCCGAGGCAGAGGCAUUUACCUGGCUCUUCCUCUGAAGGCAGUUGCUGCUGUGGGGAGAAAGGAGGAGGAGCAGGAUUUCCCCGUGUCCUGCAUCCUCCUCGAAGGCAAGAUCCCUGGGGAGUGCGUUUUAUGCUUCUUGUGGAUCUGCUUGUCCGAAUAAUAGUUUUCGAUUCAUCCUGUUACGAUAAGGCAGUGCGAAACUUUGCCCGGCUGAGAGUAUAUCCUGUUUUCUAGAUGUAGCACUUGCUUUUGAAAUUUUAGAAAGCAUAUGAACUAAAUUAACUUUCAGUAAGAGGGGGGCAAUAAUGAAAGAAUUAAUUUACUACUGCUACUGACUUCCUCUGAGAUCUCAUAUAGAGAAAGAUCCUGCAGUUUUUUUUUAUUGCAUUAAUUUGCAGAAUGAAAACUGUAUGUUCAAAGUCAAUGUUUCUGAUGCUUUUGGCACAUUUUCAAACAAUACKCAAUAUUAUCAUAAAUUAAUUGUAGAUAAGUGAUAGAUCAGUAACUCUUAACUUAGAAGUACUAAAAACUUACUACCUAAAUUUAGUAACAAUGCAUGAGAUUCCCUUUUUUUCUUUUUUUGAUUGGAGAUGCAUACAUAGCUGUACAUGUACCUAUACUGUAUCCUGGUUAUAAUUUUUGGUUCUGAUGUUUUAUCAAAUCUCUGGGAAAAUAAUUUAACAAGUUUCCUUAGAUGAUUUUUUAAAUUUGUGUUGCUGUAUAUUAAAAAAAWAUAUUGCCAGCAAUAAGUAACCUUCAAAAUUUAAUUUUUGAUGACAGCAAAGUUUGACUUGGGAGUCUGCUAUCAGUUUUAUUUUACAAACUGUUGUUACUCAGUCUAUGAGCCAACUGUGUGAACACGUUCUUGACAACUUUUCUGAAGUAGUUUUUUUAUUUUUAUUUUYUUAUUAGUGAGAGUGCUGUACCCUGGUAAAGCAGGCUUAAAGAUGCUAGUAGUGGAUCCUUUUGCUUUAACUGUAGUUUGUGAACUAGUUUGCAGCUAGUCUGACGUACUUCAGGGGCUCUCCUUCCUGAAGGGUCAGAGUUUGGUUGGAAAGGAUCACUGUUGCUUAAAUAAAAUCUUGGUCCAGACAAACUUCA
rnacentral:lncRNA from 1 species